rnacentral:pre_miRNA from 1 species
UGUAAACAUCCUUGACUGGAAGCUGUGAAAUAAUGUAAGUAGCUUUCAGUCGGAUUUUUACAGC